rnacentral:rRNA from 1 species
GAUGAACGCUGGCUACAGGCUUAACACAUGCAAGUCGAGGGGAAACGACGGGGAAGCUUGCUUCCCCGGGCGUCGACCGGCGCACGGGUGAGUAACGCGUAUCCAACCUGCCUCUGACUGAGGGAUAACCCGUCGAAAGUCGGCCUAAUACCUCAUGGCAUCGUCUGCGGGCAUCCAACGACGAUUAAAGAUUUCAUCGGUCAGGGAUGGGGAUGCGUCUGAUUAGCUUGUUGGCGGGGUAACGGCCCACCAAGGCGACGAUCAGUAGGGGUUCUGAGAGGAAGGUCCCCCACAUUGGAACUGAGACACGGUCCAAACUCCUACGGGAGGCAGCAGUGAGGAAUAUUGGUCAAUGGGCGAGAGCCUGAACCAGCCAAGUAGCGUGCAGGAUGACGGCCCUAUGGGUUGUAAACUGCUUUUAUGCGGGGAUAAAGUGAGGGACGUGUCCUUCAUUGCAGUACC